ensembl:lncRNA
AAAAAGUUUCCCUGACAUUAUGAUUGUUUUCAAAUCUUGCAUAUUUAGUAAUUCUUGAUGUAACACACGAGAAGCAAUUAAGUUUGUGCACAAUUUCUUCUUCUACAGUGCAAACAGCACUUCUGGUGUAUGUAACCUGAGAAGUUCUCGCUAUAUUAUAGAUGUCAGCAUCACUGUGUAUCACAGAUGCGGCAGAUUUUAAUGUGCAAAUCCAUUACAUGGCUUCAGAUGACUUGGAAUAUAUUGCAAUGUAUGCAGUACUUUAUGGCAGCUGAACGCUAAUCAAAGGAAGUCUGUCAAUGGCAGGCCAAGAUGAAUGGAAGCCUCUGAAGUCCACGUCAAGACAAAGAGCAAGUGAAUGGAACAGAUUUGGGGAAAUUUACAGUCAGUGGAUCCUGUGCAGUGAAUGGGUGCCGUCAGAAUGAGAAUUCAAACAGCUGAUAAAAACAACAUAAAAAUCAACAAGUAAUCUACACAGCGCCAGUUCAUCAAUUAACAUCUUGUGAAGUGAAAAGCUACAUGUUUGCAAGGUAGGCGUUUAAUCUUUAAACCAUUGCUUCUGGCCAAAAUACGAAUCCAUAAGUCAUAAUAAUGGUUCUUCUAGUGAAAAAGUGUAUCCUCUGUUGUCCUCUCACAUCAAAAUCCUCCAACAUAUUUAUUUAGAACAGUUUUAGACCAUUUUCAUUGUAAAUAGUACUUGUAUGCUAUGUGCAUGUUUCUCUCCUGAUUCAGACGAGAUUACUUUU